CUAUUACAGGCAAAUAGUUUUAUAAAUCCUAUUUAAUUUAAAGUAAGGAGAAUAAAAUAUUCAAACUUUGAGUCUUUUCAUUGGAAGAAGAGUCUCUUUGGGAAGAUUUUUAUUAGAGGACAGGCUGAACUAGAUGAUGGCAAGAUCCUUCUCAUUCUGUGUCUGUUUUCACUUCAUAUUAAGUCUGUACUAAUAAGCCCCAGAUAUUAAAGUAUCAGCUGAAAGUUUGCCCACAAGACUGAACUGUCUUCUCUCAUCUAGAUUAUGCCAGCUCAGAAUGGGCUCUAAAUAUUAGGGAGAAGCUGCUAGGUCAGUUUUGACGUAUUGGUGUAAUAACACAAAUUACUUCUCAGGUUCUGGAUGUAGAGACAGUAACGGAAUGGUUACAUAAAAUUAUUUGUAACACUUGCAGACUCUGUUGGUUGGCCUUUACUGUGGAACAGCCUACUUAAAAAUUAAAUUAAUGGGACUUGUGUGGAAUUUUAGGUACCCAAAAUUUAAAUUUGGUUAAGUGCGUUCCUGGGAGCAGCAACGCCUUCAGAGAGACUGAACAUGAAUCUUGAAACCUCGCACGUUUUAUUCGUACAGAGGUUACCAGACUUUUUUCUUAUGGUAGGGUCCUUCAUUUUCAGAAAGUAUAUCAUGGAUUACGUAAUUGAGAACGGGAAGAUAGGUAAACUGCUUGCUUCCCAUUAACAAUUGCCUAACAUCCCUGUGGUAAGUAGAACAGUUACUUGCAUUAAAUACUUACUUUUUCCAUAUCUUAUUAGCUUCACUGAAUGCAGGUUAGCUACUAGAAGUGAAGAGAGUCGGCAGCACGUGGCCCAAUUUGCUAUGCAGACUACAGUUGGGGAAUGUCUGUAUUUGAAACUUUGAAACGUUAGCAGUGAGUUAACCUGACUCUCUUUAUUCCCUUUCAGCCAGCGAGGACUCUAUACUGAAAUGAACAAAUUGCAUUGGACCUCAUUUUCAUCUUCAGCAAAAUCUGAAGCCUUGAAUUAGCUAUAUUCCUGUUUUCUUCACUGCAAGGUGUGGCUAAAGUGCUGAGAAUAAGGCAACUGAGCAAAAUUUAACUGUUGUUAACUCCCUGCCUUUUUUGCUGUACUGUCCAUCUUCUGCAGAGAGGCAUUAUAUUGUUUAGAUAACCACUGUAAAGGUAGAUGAAUUCCCUUGCUUUCAAUAAACACACAUUGAACAUA